rnacentral:rRNA from 1 species
UACGUAGGGGGCAAGCGUUGUCCGGAUUUAUUGGGCGUAAAGAGCGUGUAGGCGGCCAGGUAGGUCAGCUGUGAAAACUCGAGGCUCAACCUCGAGACGCCGGUUGAAACCAUCUGGCUAGAGUCCGGAAGAGGAGAGUGGAAUUCCUGGUGUAGCGGUGAAAUGCGCAGAUAUCAGGAAGAACACCCGUGGCGAAAGCGGCUCUCUGGAACGGUACUGACGCUGAGACGCGAAAGCGUGGGGAGCGAACAGG